rnacentral:tRNA from 1 species
UGGUGUGGCUCAGUGGUAGAGCAGCUGAUUCGUAAUCAGCAGGUCGUCGGUUCGAAUCCGACCACC